GCUCAAAUUCUUAGCGCCUAAUAUCUGAGGUCUACACGAAAAGUGUCAGCUCUGAACAGAACACCAAAACCACUUCCUUCUCUUUAUUUAAACCAGAGGCAGAAGUCAAAAAAAGACCUGCGCGCAAGUGCGUAGAACUGCAGAUUUGGUCUCUCAUUUCCCAUAUACACUGGACAUUUCCAUCCAUUUGCUGCAUUCACUCUCACGAAAAACCUCUGAUUCUUCUUUAUCCUCGACUGCCAAAAAAAAGACAUGAACAUGAAAGUCCAGCUGUUUAGUGCAGAAAUCCUGUGUGCAUCACUGCUCAUCCUGUUCGCUGAAAUGGUGGCAUCAUUUGAUACCACCUUCCCCCCCUUCAGCACAUCUGUCAACCCCCUCCUUUCUACCAUAAACUCAUCUGAUGGAAACAUGACGACCCAGAAUCAGAUUACAAUGAAUAUCCCUGAUGUUCAAAGCGAAUCAUCUGCUGCUGUCAAACCAAGCACUUUAUCUUCACCUACAACACCGGCCACCACAACCAACAACUUUUUCCCUUCAGUCCUGAAGAGGGAUUGUCUCCAGCUGUUCUUCAUCUGCAGUGGAUUGAUGAUGGCCUGCGCAAUUUUACUCAUUUCCAUUUGUAUUUUAGCAUUUAAGGUGUGUCAUUUGAGCAAACAGCUCAAGACUCUGAGAGUUAACCGUGAGCUGAUGGAGGAAUCUGGCUGCUUGGUGAAUCUGACUGAAACCAAGCUACUGUCCAACACAAGUCAAGAAAAACUGGAGCUGAGCAAUGGUACCACUGUGGAGGAGGAAGGGAUCACCAAUAAGGAGGAUGGUGAACCCACAGUCUCUGAAAACCCCGACAAGGCGUCUCUGCCCAGCUCUACAGAAAGUGCUUCUUUAAAGCCACAGGGUGAAGCGACCUCCUCAGAGCUCCCAUUGGCUGCUGCACCCGAGCCUUCUGGAGGAGCAGAGCAACCCGAAAAGGCUUCUGAGUGAAACCAACGUUUCAGCUACUCCAGUUCCAGAUCGCUUACUGUAAAGAUGCUUUAGCAGCAGCUUUUCUUGAAACCCAAGCAAGUUUUUAGGGGUGUAACGAUUCAUUUUAAUAACAAUUUGUUUCAUAUAAGAAUUUGUUGUUUGUUUAUGCGAUUCAUGGCAGAUAUUGGUGCAUUUAAAACGAUCCGAUUCACUGACCCUUGAUCGGUCCAGGACAUCUUUAGCCAAAAUCUUCAUCCAGUGUGACUCAGAGAUACAUACCUGAUACUGAACAGUGCAGGUGAAGUUUUCCAGAUUCCUUGUAUUUCACGCAAGAUAAUCAAGUGUACAAUAAGUACGUGUACAAACAAACAAGAAUUAAUGACCACAUUAACACAUGGGACGGUAGUAAUAGUUUGGUCAUUUUUUGCUGCCAUCACACUGUGUUGUCUAGCUGUCCGCUGUGAUGCAUUUGGUCGUUUUACACUAUAGUAAAUAAAACAUACAAUACCUCAAUUUAAAUGGUAUUUUCCAAGACAUAUAUAAUGAUUUCUUUUAAUUUUGAAACAAUUUUUAAUGUUAUAAGUUGAUUUGAUUCAAUUAACAACUUGCCUCAGAUGAAAUGGAAUGAUUGUAGGAUUUUAAAUAUAUUCAUUGAUUACGUUGAUUAAUUGUUACACCCCUACAAGUUUUAGCUGUGAUAAAAAUGUGUUUCUGAUGUGCCUAAUUUGAUAUGACUUCUGUAACCACUGUAGUUUAAACCAAGCUUAUAAUUCUCUGGUGUUCAACAAAGAUGCUGCAGCAACUGGUGAUGCAUUCAAGCUGAGAACCAUUAUUUACUGUGUGGUUUGCAGCAGCAUUUGUAUGUGUUUGUGAGGGAAACUGGAGACUUACUUGAUUAGCAGGCAUGAAUGCACCUCACCCAGGCAGUACUACCAAACUCCCAAAGAACGCUUUGUGUCCUCGGCUUCACAAAACCAAAAUAAAAAAAAGCUUUUUCAAAGUAAAA